AGAUUGAACGCUGGCGGCAGGCCUAACACAUGCAAGUCGAGCGGUAGAGAGGUGCUUGCAUCUCUUGAGAGCGGCGGACGGGUGAGUAAUGCCUAGGAAUCUGCCUAGUGGUGGGGGAUAACGUUCGGAAACGGACGCUAAUACCGCAUACGUCCUACGGGAGAAAGCGGGGGACCUUCGGGCCUCGCGCCAUUAGAUGAGCCUAGGUCGGAUUAGCUAGUUGGUGAGGUAAUGGCUCACCAAGGCGACGAUCCGUAACUGGUCUGAGAGGAUGAUCAGUCACACUGGAACUGAGACACGGUCCAGACUCCGUACGGGAGCAGCAGUGGGGAAUA
rnacentral:rRNA from 1 species